UUUAGAUGUUUGUAUCUUGGCUCAGGACGAACGCUGGCGGCGUGCCUAAUACAUGCAAGUUGAGCGCUGAAGGUUGGUACUUGUACCGACUGGAUGAGCAGCGAACGGGUGAGUAACGCGUGGGGAAUCUGCCUUUGAGCGGGGGACAACAUUUGGAAACGAAUGCUAAUACCGCAUAAAAACUUUAAACACAAGUUUUAAGUUUGAAAGAUGCAAUUGCAUCACUCAAAGAUGAUCCCGCGUUGUAUUAGCUAGUUGGUGAGGUAAAGGCUCACCAAGGCGAUGAUACAUAGCCGACCUGAGAGGGUGAUCGGCCACAUUGGGACUGAGACACGGCCCAAACUCCUACGGGAGGCAGCAGUAGGGAAUCUUCGGCAAUGGACGAAAGUCUGACCGAGCAACGCCGCGUGAGUGAAGAAGGUUUUCGGAUCGUAAAACUCUGUUGGUAGAGAAGAACGUUGGUGAGAGUGGAAAGCUCAUCAAGUGACGGUAACUACCCAGAAAGGGACGGCUAACUACGUGCCAGCAGCCGCGGUAAUACGUAGGUCCCGAGCGUUGUCCGGAUUUAUUGGGCGUAAAGCGAGCGCAGGUGGUUUAUUAAGUCUGGUGUAAAAGGCAGUGGCUCAACCAUUGUAUGCAUUGGAAACUGGUAGACUUGAGUGCAGAGAGAGAGAUUUAC
rnacentral:rRNA from 1 species